CAGUCGAGCGGCAGCGGAAAGUAGCUUGCUACUUUGCCGGCGAGCGGCGGACGGGUGAGUAAUGUCUGGGAAACUGCCUGAUGGAGGGGGAUAACUACUGGAAACGGUAGCUAAUACCGCAUGACCUCGAAAGAGCAAAGUGGGGGAUCUUCGGACCUCACGCCAUCGGAUGUGCCCAGAUGGGAUUAGCUAGUAGGUGAGGUAAUGGCUCACCUAGGCGACGAUCCCUAGCUGGUCUGAGAGGAUGACC
rnacentral:rRNA from 1 species